rnacentral:rRNA from 1 species
GACGAACGCUGGCGGCGUGCUUAACACAUGCAAGUCGAACGGUAAGGCCCUUCGGGGUACACGAGUGGCGAACGGGUGAGUAACACGUGGGUGAUCUGCCCCGCACUUCGGUAUAAGCCUGGGAAACUGGGUCGAAUACCGUAUAGGACCCCUGCCUUCCGGGGUGGUCGUGGCAAGCGUUUGCGGUGUGGGAUGGGCCCGCGGCCUAUCAGCUUGUUGGUGGGGUGAUGGCGUACCAAGGCGACGACGGGUAGCGGGCCUGAGAGGGUGACCGGCCACACUGGGACUGAGAUACGGCCCAGACUCCUACGGGAGGCAGCAGUGGGGAAUAUUGCACAAUGGGCGCAAGCCUGAUGCAGCGACGCCGCGUGAGGGAUGACGGCCUUCGGGUUGUAAACCUCUUUCAGCACCGACGAAGCGCAAGUGACGGUAGGUGCAGAAGAAGGACCGGCCAACUACGUGCCAGCCGCCGCGGUAA